UUAUUUAUAUGGGGGAUGCAUGGUAAGCAUCGAUGUU
rnacentral:sRNA from 1 species